UUCGGGAUGCCGGCGAGUGGCGAACGGGUGAGUAAUACGUGGAAACCUAUCCCGAGGUGGGGGAUAACAGCUGGAAACGGCUGCUAAUACCGCAUAAGCCCUAAGGGGGAAAGAUUUAUCGCCUUGGGAGGGGCCCACGUCGGAUUAGCUAGUUGGUAGGGUAAAGGCCUACCAAGGCGACGAUCCGUAGCUGGUCUGAGAGGAUGGACAGCCACACUGGGACUGAGACACGGCCCAGACUCCUACGGGAGGCAGCAGUGGGGAAUAUUGCGCAAUGGGGGAAACCCUGACGCAGCGAUGCCGCGUGGGUGAAGAAGGCCUUCGGGUUGUAAAGCCCUUUCAGUGGGGAAGAUAGUGACGGUACCCACAGAAGAAGCUCGGGCUAACUCCGUGCCAGCAGCCGCGGUAAUACGGAGGGGGCGAGCGUUGUUCGGAAUUACUGGGCGUAAAGGGCGCGUAGGCGGUGCAGCAAG
rnacentral:rRNA from 1 species